rnacentral:rRNA from 1 species
AUUGAACGCUGGCGGCAGGCCUAACACAUGCAAGUCGAACGAGCGGCGGACGGGUGAGUAAUGUAUGGGAAUCUGCCCUAUGGAGGGGGAUAACUUCUGGAAACGGUAGCUAAUACCGCAUACCAUCAGAUGUGCCCAUGUGGGAUUAGCUAGUAGGUGGGGUAACGGCCCACCGAGGCGACGAUCCCUAGCUGGUCUGAGAGGAUGACCAGCCACACUGGAACUGAGACACGGUCCAGACUCCUACGGGAGGCAGCAGUGGGGAAUAUUGCACAAUGGGCGCAAGCCUGAUGCAGCCAUGCCGCGUGGAUGAAGAAGGCCUUCGGGUUGUAAAGUACUUUUAUCGGGGAGGCGUUACCCGAAGAAGAAGCACCGGCUAACUCCGUGCCAGCAGCCGCGGUAAUAC